UCCGGUUGAUCCUGGCGGAGGCUACUGCUAUCGGAGUUCGAUUAAGCCAUGCGAGUCGAGAGGUGCAAGACCUCGGCAUACUGCUCAGUAACACGUGGACAACCUACCCUAUGGAGGGGGAUAACCCCGGGAAACUGGGGAUAAUACCCCAUAGACUAUGAAUGCUGGAAUGCUUUGUAGUUGAAAGGUCCGCCGCCAUAGGAUGGGUCUGCGGCCGAUUAGGUUGUUGUUGGGGUAACGGCCCAACAAGCCUGUAAUCGGUACGGGUUGUGGGAGCAAGAGCCCGGAGAUGGAUUCUGAGACACGAAUCCAGGCCCUACGGGGCGCAGCAGGCGCGAAAACUUUACAAUGCGGGAAACCGUGAUAAGGGAACUCCGAGUGCCCGUAAAAUCGGGCUGUCCAUCUGUUUAAAUAACAGGUGAAGAAAGGGCCGGGCAAGACCGGUGCCAGCCGCCGCGGUAAUACCGGCGGCUCGAGUGGUGGCCACUAUUACUGGGCUUAAAGCGUUCGUAGCUGGUCUGUUAAGUCUCUGGGGAAAUCUACUGGCUUAACCAAUAGGCGUUUCAGGGAUACUGGCAGACUAGGGACCGGGAGAGGUGAGGGGUACUCCAGGGGUAGGAGUGAAAUCCUGUAAUCCUUGGGGGACCACCUGUGGCGAAGGCGCCUCACCAGAACGGCUCCGACAGUGAGGGACGAAAGCUGGGGGAGCAAACCGGAUUAGAUACCCGGGUAGUCCCAGCCGUAAACGAUGCGCGUUAGGUGUAUCGGUGACCACGAGUCACCGAGGUGCCGAAGAGAAAUCGUGAAACGUGCCGCCUGGGAAGUACGGUCGCAAGGCUGAAACUUAAAGGAAUUGGCGGGGGAGCACCACAACAGGUGGAGCCUGCGGUUUAAUCGGACUCAACGCCGGAAAUCUCACCGGAUAAGACAGCUGUAUGAUAGUCGGGCUGAAGACUCUACUUGACUAGCUGAGAGGAGGUGCAUGGCCGUCGUCAGUUCGUACUGUGAAGCAUCCUGUUAAGUCAGGCAACGAGCGAGACCCA
rnacentral:rRNA from 1 species